rnacentral:misc_RNA from 1 species
CCGAGUUAGGGUCUUCCAGGCCCGACCUCCAACCCUUUGUUGACUAUACCAUGUUGCUUUGGUGGGCCCGCCUUUAGGGGCCGCCGGGGACUUUCGCCCCUGGUCAGUGCCCGCCAGUAGCCUUCUUAAAUUCUUGUAAUUAUGUCGUCUGAGUAUAGAUAUAAAUCGUUA